rnacentral:rRNA from 1 species
CCUGUACCCAUCCCGAACACAGAAGAUAAGCCUGCCAGCGUUGUAUACUGUACUAAAGUGCGAGAGCCUUUGGGAAAUAUGCAUCGCUGCUGACU